AUUAGUUUUACAUAUUUGAUAAUUCGGAAUGUGUUUUAUUUCAAGGUCUUUUCUGGGCGGUCAAGGAUAUUUAUAUCGAUAUGGGAAAAGUGCUCAUCUCAAAUAAUAACACCCCUAGAUUUAAGCGAGCUAAGUUUUACGGUUGGAAGACGCGGUUAUAAACGGAUUUCAAAUCAGAAAUGCUCGGGUCCAAGACGAAGAUAUUACCUGGAAAUACAUAAUAAAAUAGUCAACAAGUCAACUAAAUCGUUCUACUUGGAAAUAAAGCGCAACCAUUUUAACACAGAAAAACUGAAUAUAAAAAUAUUACAUAUUUGUUAGACGUUUGCAUAAAUCUUCUAUAAAUCGAGAACGACCGGAGAUAUAACGAUGUGGUUUUAUCUGAAAUCAGAAAACGCCUUCUAGUUGAUUUGUUUUAAAACCAAACGAUUUAACGAAAAAUGGCUUUUAAACACAUUAAAAUUAUCUUUCAAAGAAGCCCAAAAAUAGUGGAAUUCGUUAAGUGGUUCAGGAGAUAUUAAAAUGUAAGUAUUGAAAACUGCAAGGGCCUCUCACUCUUAUAUUAUAAACAAUACAAAAAAAAAUUGAAAGAAAUAAUCGAUGCGGUAUUACCCAAGCUCUCAAAUGACGUUUUGAUAGUUGUAGCUCAUCUAUCCCUUUUCCGAGAUACCUAGACUUUUUGGUUUUGUUGUAGAAGUCACGCCCCCUUGCGGUCGAGCUACGAACUGUAAUACAUUUUCCAGCUAUUUUUUAUGCCAAAUUAUUAUUACUUAUAAGGGUUUUUUCUCCAAACCGCUAGUCCUUAUCGUUGUCGAGACACAGCCGCUCUUUACCUUUAUCGGGACACUCUGCAUACAGGGUGAUUCAAAAUCGUCGUUAUACCUUUUAAGGGGUAAUAAGGGUUCACUUAUAGAGUACGGAAAAAAUAUUGAAAUUUUUUUCGGAAAAUUUCUA